UACCAACCCGAUGCAAACUGCGAAUACCGGAGAAUGUUAUCACGGGAGACACACGGCGGGUGCUAACGUCCGUCGUGAAGAGGGAAACAACCCAGACCGCCAGCUAAGGUCCCAAAGUCAUGGUUAAGUGGGAAACGAUGUGGGAAGGCCCAGACAGCCAGGAUGUUGGCUUAGAAGCAGCCAUCAUUUAAAGAAAGCGUAAUAGCUCACUGGUCGAGUCGGCCUGCGCGGAAGAUGUAACGGGGCUAAACCAUGCACCGAAGCUGCGGCAGCGACACUAUGUGUUGUUGGGUAGGGGAGCGUUCUGUAAGCCUGUGAAGGUGGCCUGUGAGGGUUGCUGGAGGUAUCAGAAGUGCGAAUGCUGACAUAAGUAACGAUAAAGCGGGUGAAAAGCCCGCUCGCCGGAAGACCAAGGGUUCCUGUCCAACGUUAAUCGGGGCAGGGUGAGUCGACCCCUAAGGCGAGGCCGAAAGGCGUAGUCGAUGGGAAACAGGUUAAUAUUCCUGUACUUGGUGUUACUGCGAAGGGGGGACGGAGAAGGCUAUGUUGGCCGGGCGACGGUUGUCCCGGUUUAAGCGUGUAGGCUGGUUUUCCAGGCAAAUCCGGAAAACCAAGGCUGAGGCGUGAUGACGAGGCACUACGGUGCUGAAGCGACAAAUGCCCUGCUUCCAGGAAAAGCCUCUAAGCAUCAGGUAACAUCAAAUCGUACCCCAAACCGACACAGGUGGUCAGGUAGAGAAUACCAAGGCGCUUGAGAGAACUCGGGUGAAGGAACUAGGCAAAAUGGUGCCGUAACUUCGGGAGAAGGCACGCUGAUAUGUAGGUGAAGCGACUUGCUCGUGGAGCUGAAAUCAGUCGAAGAUACCAGCUGGCUGCAACUGUUUAUUAAAAACACAGCACUGUGCAAACACGAAAGUGGACGUAUACGGUGUGACGCCUGCCCGGUGCCGGAAGGUUAAUUGAUGGGGUUAGCGGUAACGCGAAGCUCUUGAUCGAAGCCCCGGUAAACGGCGGCCGUAACUAUAACGGUCCUAAGGUAGCGAAAUUCCUUGUCGGGUAAGUUCCGACCUGCACGAAUGGCGUAAUGAUGGCCAGGCUGUCUCCACCCGAGACUCAGUGAAAUUGAACUCGCUGUGAAGAUGCAGUGUACCCGCGGCAAGACGGAAAGACCCCGUGAACCUUUACUAUAGCUUGACACUGAACAUUGAGCCUUGAUGUGUAGGAUAGGUGGGAGGCUUUGAAGUGUGGACGCCAGUCUGCAUGGAGCCGACCUUGAAAUACCACCCUUUAAUGUUUGAUGUUCUAACGUUGGCCCGUAAUCCGGGUUGCGGACAGUGUCUGGUGGGUAGUUUGACUGGGGCGGUCUCCUCCUAAAGAGUAACGGAGGAGCACGAAGGUUGGCUAAUCCUGGUCGGACAUCAGGAGGUUAGUGCAAUGGCAUAAGCCAGCUUGACUGCGAGCGUGACGGCGCGAGCAGGUGCGAAAGCAGGUCAUAGUGAUCCGGUGGUUCUGAAUGGAAGGGCCAUCGCUCAACGGAUAAAAGGUACUCCGGGGAUAACAGGCUGAUACCGCCCAAGAGUUCAUAUCGACGGCGGUGUUUGGCACCUCGAUGUCGGCUCAUCACAUCCUGGGGCUGAAGUAGGUCCCAAGGGUAUGGCUGUUCGCCAUUUAAAGUGGUACGCGAGCUGGGUUUAGAACGUCGUGAGACAGUUCGGUCCCUAUCUGCCGUGGGCGCUGGAGAACUGAGGGGGGCUGCUCCUAGUACGAGAGGACCGGAGUGGACGCAUCACUGGUGUUCGGGUUGUCAUGCCAAUGGCACUGCCCGGUAGCUAAAUGCGGAAGAGAUAAGUGCUGAAAGCAUCUAAGCACGAAACUUGCCCCGAGAUGAGUUCUCCCUGACUCCUUGAGGGUCCUGAAGGAACGUUGAAGACGACGACGUUGAUAGGCCGGGUGUGUAAGCGCAGCGAUGCGUUGAGCUAACCGGUACUAAUGAACCGUGAGGCUUAACCUU
rnacentral:rRNA from 1 species